GUUCCUUCCGGCGUCUCCAACCGCCGCCUGCUCCCGCCGUCCACCCGCGCGGGCCGCCUGGGACGGGGAGGGCCGGGCUGCGGGCUUUUCUCCCUUCCAGAGUCCUGCGCCCGCCCAAAGCCCCCCCGCAGAGGCUGGGCAGCGGCUCCGGGAAGUGGACGCCGUUUGCCCAGACGGUGGGCUCGACUGAAGCGGCGCGGUCCCGGGUGGGGCCGCCCGGGAAGAAAGUCUCCCAGUUAAGCUGCCGUGCAAUUAAGAUGGUUGGGUUUGGAUUGUUGUACUUUUUUUUUUGUUCGUUGCAUUUUUAGGAACAAAAAAAAAAGCCCAACCCUUCACACCACUUCAUCCGCAUCUCAAGACCAGAAGCCGACCCCAGCGGCUUGGGGAAAUGGAGCCCCGCACCCCACAAGGGGGAGGGUGGGACGGGCACCUCCGCACUGCGCGGCCUGCGGAGUCACCGAUUCGCGUUGGGAGCGCGCCAGGAGCGCCAGGGCUCUAGCCGGGGGCUCCGGGCAAGGCGCAACCAGAAAAGGGUUCAGUAUCCCCCAUCACCCCCACCCCCAACCGUACCCUCUUUCUUUGCGGGCUUUAGGCAGGACACCAGAGACCCAAUUCUAUUUAAAAUUCUCUUUUAAGAAAAGGAACGCCUGUUUUUGCCUUUGGGGGAAAGGAUGAACUUUCAAAUUGGCUUUAAAUUAUCCACCACUAACAGUUACUCAGUCGAUAACCUGACUAUUCUGACGUCCACCUCCCGUUUGAGGACCUUGCCCAAUAGCAAACGUACUAAGCACUUAACCAGUGAACGGUGUGAAGGAUGCAAACAUGGAUGAUGAAGGAAUGGCUCCUCCAGAAUUUACGAUCUUGGGAGAAGUGAGGCGAGUAUAGAAUCUCAGAACACGCUGUAGGAUUGAGUUCGAUCCCAGUUGAGGAAGUUUGGGUUUGGGGAGGAAAUAGGUUAUUUUGGAGAAACGGUAUUCAAAACCUACCAUAAAUAGCAGUACAGCCCGUUGACUAAUAAUGCUUAGCCCAACCCCCGUAAAAAGCCCCUGGCCACAUCCGUCUCCUGAGAUUCCCACUUCUCUGUGUGCAUCUCCCUUCCUGCUAUAAGAAACCUAACUUUGCCUUCGUAGAACACUUCUUUUAAUUUCUGUCAUUCAGUCUCAUAACACUGUGUAAAAGAAAUUAUGAUCUUCAUCCUAUAUAGAUGAGAAAACAGGUGAAGUGACUUUUCCAAGGUACAAAAGCAAGAGGCAGAGCUGAGGCUAAAGGCAGCUUCCAGAUAUGGGCUCUUUCUACAGCACCAUAACUGUCAGUGACAAAACUGCACCCCAGUACCUUACUAAAUUUAGUGUUUUUAGGCCAGGCACGGUGGCUCACGCCUGUAAUCCCAGCACUUUGGGAGGUCGAGGCGGGCAGAUCACCUGAGGUCAGGAGUUCCAGACCGGACUGACCAACAUGGUGAAACCUGGUCUCUACUAAAAAUACAAAAAUUAGCCGGUCAUGGUGCCGUAUGCCUGUAGUCCCAGCUACUUGAGAGGCUGAGGCAGGAGAAUAGCUUGAACCCGGGAGAUGGAGGUUGCAGUGAGCCGAGAUCCUACCACUGCACUCCAGCCUGGGCAACAGAGCAAGACUCCGUCUCAAUAACUAAAUUAAUUAAUUAAUUUAGUGUUUCUAAAAAAACAAAGUGAUCUGUAGAAACAUCUCAUUUAUUUGUUGUCAUUGUGUGUUGAUUGAUUUUGAGACAGGGUCUAUCUCUGUCCCCCAGGCUGGAGUGCAGUAGCAUGAUCAUGGCUCACUACAGCCUCAAGCCCCUGGGCCCAAGUUAUCCUCCUCCCUUAGCCUCCCAAGUAGCUGGGACCACAGACAUGCGCCACCACGCCUGGCUAAUUUUAUUUUUUGUAAAGAUAGAGUCUCACUAUGUUGCCCAGGCUGGUGUCAAACUCCUGGGCUCAAGUGUUCCUCAGGCCUCAGCCUCCCAAAGUGCUGGGAUUACAGGCGUGAGCCACCACACCCAGCCAUAUGGAAACAUUUCAGAUAUCCUAAUAUUAAAAUGAUAUUUCACAAGACUGGACAGUUAUUAACUCAUGUGAAAGGAAAAUCUUGGGGCCCCAAAAUCACUAAGCUAAAGGAAAAAGUCAAGCUUCGGAGAACUGCUUAGGGCAAACCUGCCUCCCAUUCUAUUCAAAGUCAUCCCUCUGCUCACUGAGAUAAAUGAAUAUCUGAUUGCCUCCUUUGGAAAGGGUAACCAGAAACUCAAAAGAAUGCAGUGAUUUGCCUCUUAUCUCCCUAAAACCUGGAAGCCCGCCCCCUGUUUUGAGUUGUCCCACCUUUGCUUCAAGUCGUCCCACCUUUUCUGGACUGAACCAGUGUUCAUCUUACACACGCUGAUUGAUGUCUCGUGUCUUCCUAAAAUGUACAAAACCAAACUGCUCUGACCACCUCGGGUUCUGACCUCCUGAAGCUGUAUCAUGGGCACGCAUCCUCAACCGUGGCAAAAUAAACUUUCUAAAUUAACUGGGACAUGGCUCAGAUUUUUAGGGUUCACACGCAAAACCCACAAAUUAUCCUUAAUAUAAUUAUAUAAUAUAUAUUUAUGUAGUUAGAUCUGGUUGGUGGUAGAUACUAAUACACUUUUGCCCAACUAAGUGUAAAACACAUUAAAUCUGUAUAGCAAUCUCUAGACUAUUACACAAAAUUAACUACUAACUAGAAAACACAGUAUAUUAAAUUCUCUUAAGUGUGGAAAAAUGGAGAAGGAAGAAUAACCUUUUCUCUCCUCCCGUGGUCCUAAUACACAGAACAGCGACUGGGAAACUGCCACUAGAAAAAGAUGACUGUCCAACUAAAACCUGCAUACACAGCUACAUCCUUCCCUGGAAGAGCACAGUGGAACUAGAUCCUAGUACAGAUAGCACAGGGAUUGUCAACAUUCUUGUCACACUGAAAUUUCCUUCUACUGAUCUCCAAAGAUGGUGUUUUGCCAUGUUGCCUAGGCUAGUCUCAAACUCACAGACUCCAAUGAUCCACCCGCUUUGGCCAAUCAAAGUGCUGGAAUUACAGGUAUGAGCCACUGUGCCAAACCAAGAAAUUUAUUUUCAUAUUUUGAGAUUUGUUAUUGAAAAUUACAGAUUUUUAAAAAUGCAAUAACAUAUAAAAGUACAUCAUAUAUGGUUCAGUCUUACUGAACCAUUUAAUAUAAUAUUUUGUCAAAGUACUCAAUUUAUAAAUAAAAUAUAAAAAUCAUUAAUUGUGACAAAUAUUUUCCUAAAAUCUUCCAAAAGGAAACUAUAUAUGUGUGAAUACAUAUAAUUUGCUUGUAUAUCAAUCAUAUGUAUAAUUUAUCUUUCUUUUUUUCUCAGACAGAGUCUUGCUCUGUCACCCAGGCUGGAGUGUAAUGGUGCAAUCUUGGCUCACUGCAACCCCCGUCUCCCAGGUUCACGCGAUUCUCCUGCCUCAGCCUGCCAAGGUUUACAGGUGCCUGCCACCACCCCUGGAUAAUUAUUUGUAUUUUUAGUAGAGAUGGGAUUUCGACAUGUUGGCCAGGCUGGUCUUGAACUCCUGACCUCAGGUGAUCCACCCACCUUGGCCUCCCAAAGUGCUGGGAUUACAGGCAUGAGUCACUGCGCCCAGCCAAUUUAUCUUGUUAGAAUGAUUGUAACUGUAUUCUGUAAAAGGCCGGUGUUAAUAGAUUGCUUAGCUACAUUUUAGAGUAUGCUUCACUAGAGCCUUAAAAAUCAUUACAUAUAUAUCCUCUGAAAUGUAUUAUUGCUUUGAUAUUUUAACAAUGAUUAAUUACAUUCAAUUAUGACAAUUAAAUGUUUUUCUAAAUUCCCAUAUAUGUAGAAUUUUAUUUUUUACAAACAGUAACUUUAUGAGGGCCUUAAGAAAUGAUUAAUUUAGGCUGAGUGUGAUGGCUCACGCUGGUAAUCCCAGCACUUUGGGAGGCUGAGGUGGGCGGAUCACCUGAGGUCAGGAGUUCGAGACCAGCCUGACAACAUGGAGAAACCCCGUCCCUACUAAAAAUACAAAAAAGUUAGCUGGGUGUGGUGGCGCAUGCCUGUAAUCCCAGCUACUCGGGAGGCUGAGGCAGGAGAAUCACUUGAACCUGGGAGGCGGAGGUUGUGGUGAGCCGAGAUCACUCCACUGCACUCCAGCCUGGGCAACAAGAGCGAAACUCCAUCUCAAAAAUAAAAAUAAAAAUAAAAAAUAAAUGAUUAAUUCAGCUAAAGACUAAUAGAUACUGUAUAUUUGCAAUUGUUGGAGAGCUCGAUUUGUAUAAAUUGUUUAUUUUGAAUCUUUCUGAGCUCACUCACCAUUAUGUGCUAAUUUUUACCCUGAGAAGUGUCAAUUAUGAUAACAUUUUGGAUUAGAAAACUACUUUCAUCCUGUUUUAUGGGAGAUUUUUAGAGCAUUUUUAGAGCAUUCUAUAAAUAAGGAUACAUCAUGGAUAGGGGUUCUGCAGUUUUCAGUAGCUGGUAGAUACCUGUACCUUAAGCACACUCUUUGUCUUAAAUAAAGACAAUAGACCAAUGCAUAGAAUUUUUGUUCUGAGGAUCUAGACUUUAUCAGAUACUUCCUAUACAGCAUUGCAUAAGACAUAGAUGCUUCAUUGUUUUUAACAUGAGCCCAGUUGAGUCUCUCUAAUAUUAAAGCAUUGGGUAAUAAAUGCCUUGUUAAAAUGUGUUUAUCUUAUAAUGGUCUUGUUUGUAACACUAUCUGGAUUGUUGCUAGAAUGCCCCCAGAUCUCCAGAAGUGUGGAAUUUGAUCUAAAGCAACCCACACCCCUCCCAGUCAGGCAAAAGACACAGAUAAUUCAGAAGAUGGUUGAAACUAAUUAUACAAUAUCAGUGCAUUUUAAGCAUUUUGUGAAUGUCAUUGGCCUCCAUGUUGCUAACUCCAACAGAUAUUUUUUCAGUUCUCAUUUUCCUUGAUCUUUUGGUAGCCUUCAACUCUGAGUACCACUGCCUCCUUUUUAAAAGGCCCUCUUUUCCUCUGCCAUUAGUAACACUAAACUCACUCCUGGCUUUUCUUCUUCAGACUCAGGAAUACUUGCUGGGUCAUCCUUUUCUACCCAGCAUUUAAAUUCUGGAAUUCAAACGCUCAGUUUUAGGACCCUCCUAGGAGUUCAGUGAUCAUUUAUUGACUCUUACAAUCCCUGUCAAAAACACAAACUGUUUGCCUAUUGUUACUCUAUUUUUAAAUGAUGAAAACUGAAUUUUAAUACUUGAGAGGCAUGUCACUUCUUCCUCUCCCACAAUCCUUACUCUGUGUAGGCAUUUGGGUUAGCCCUUGUGUUACCCGAGGCUCAUACUGCUUCCAGCAGCAGGGCUCCUGCACCCUUAGUUCCUUCCCUAACGAGGCCCUCACCAGCCACCUCCCAUCCCCAUCCUCCAACCAUAGCACAACUGACAGUCUCAGGUGAGCUUUCCCAGAUGUUUCUGGCCAAUUAACAGACCCUGUUAAUCAUCUCAUACCAUCUAAUACUGCUCUUCCAUCAUGCACUCUGCAGUUUGUUAAAUUUAUUUGUGUAAUUAUUUGAUUAAUGUUUGUCUCCCCACUUGACUGUAAACCCCAUAAGAGCUGGGAUUGUGUGUGUGUGUUUGUGUGUGUGUGUGUUUUCUCAUCAUUGCAUUACUAGCACCUAACCCAGUGAUUUCAUGAAUGUCUUAAGGAAGUAAGAGUCUCCUAUUUCACGGUAUUGAUGUAUUUCAGACUUCUAAAAAUUUGCUGUUGAGACCAGCUGAAAUGGUAAGUACUCUGAAUUUUAAUUUACUCAAAAUAGGCACUUCAAUACAUUUUACUUUAUCAAAACAAAGUAGCUUUCCAUCCUUUCUUUACACAGCAAGUAUUACCAUACUCCUAUAGUCAAACUCUUCCUAGAGUUUACACAGAAGUGCUGGUAGUCUUCAUUUUCACAGAACAACAUAGCAUAACUCUUAAAAUGAGGAGAAUUUCCUGAAGAGUCAUCAGAGAAUUAUUAUUAUUAUUGUUAUUAUUUUAAGACAGAGUCUCGCUCUGUCACCAGGCUGGAGUGCAGUGGUGAGAUCUCAGCUCACUGCAGCCUCCACCUCCCGGGUUAAAGCGAUUCUCCAGCUUCAGUCUCCCAAGUAGCUGGGAUUACAGGCACGCACCACCACACUUGGCUAAUGUCUGAUGUGCUCUCACUAAGGUAAGAGUCUAUUUAUGCCUGGGAGAUAGAGGAAGCCUACAGUCUGGAAGCCCAAAGCAGUGCUCAGGCCCAGUUUACUGGAGUAUUUGUAGCAAAGUGAUGCUUAAUUCUCAUUUGCUAGUGUUCUCUAUUCAUCCGUUUUCCUUGGGGGAUCUUGGGUUUGGUUGUGUGUGGCUACAGCGUAGGGAUGAGAUUCUAUCAUCUUUGUGUUAGGCGGCUGUAGUGCCUUUGUUUUCGUUUUUGUUUUGUUUUUUGUUUUUGUUUUUAUUUUUGUUUUGAGACAAAGUCUCCCUCUGUUGCCCAGACUGGAGUGUAGUGGUGCAAUCUCGGCUCACUGCAACCUCCGCCUCCCAAGGGCAAGUGAUUCUCCUGCUUCAGCCUCCGAAGUAGCUGGGAUUAUAGGUGUAUCCCACCAUGCCUGGCUAAUUUUUGCAUUUUUAGUAGAGACAGGGUUUCACCAUGUUGGCCAGGGUGGUCUUGAACUCCUGAUCCCAGGUGAUCUGCCCGCCUUGGCCUCCCAAAGUGCUGGGAUUACAGACCUGAGCCACCAUGCCUGGCCUAUAGUGCCUUCUUUUUUUUUUUUUUAACACAGAGUCUCGCUCUGUCACCCAGGCUGGAGUGCAGUGGCACAAUCUCAGCUUACUGCAACCUCCGCCUCCUGGGUUCAAGCGAUUCUCCUGCCUCAGCCUCCCAAGUAGCUGGGAUUACAGGCAUGUGCCACCAUACCUGGCUAAUUUUUUGUAUUUUUAGUAGAGACGGGGUUUCACCAUGUUAGCCAAUAUGGUCUCAAUCUCCUGACCUCGUGAUCCACCCACCUCAGCCUCCCAAAGUGCUGGGAUUACAGGCAUGAGCCACUGCACCUGGCCUUUAUGGUGUCUUCUUAAGGUGAAUAGCACCUCACCCUGAUUUUUAACAUGUAGCAUUUUGCAUUGCACUAUAUCUACUGAAGAUGUUAAUCACUUCUGCAUCUUUCCAUAGCUUUCAACAUGAUACUUUUCAAUGGCUGCAUAAUUUCAUUAAUACACCUAAAUGUAAGGUGUAUGUAAAGGAAAAAGACAGUGAAAUCCUUGUGUGGUUAUUCAUACAAGUCCCUAUUUAGGGAGCAAAUGAUUAUGUGGGGCCAGGAUAUCAUGGCUGUUAAAUGACUGCCCAUGUGACACUGGGCAGGGAGUGCCUCUGAUACUAGGCAGGCUAGAGAUGAUGUUUUUGGAACCAGGAGGGAAAAGCUAGAAAAAGUGGCAUAAAUAUAGGAAAAGAAUAGGAAUUUCAAGAAUUGAGUAUAGUCUUAAAUGUUGACCAAAAAAAAGUAAAUUGAGCCCUGAAAAAUGAUAGAAUUUUCCAAUUAGGUUACUAAUGAUUUUACCAGCCUGGCCAACAUGGUGAAACCCCAUCUCUACUAAAAAUACAAAAACAUUAACGAAGUGUUGGCACACGCCUGUAAUCCCAGCUACUCAGGAGGCGAGGCAAAAAAGUCACUUGAACCUGGGAGGCAGAGGUGAUAGUAAGCCGAGAUUGCGCCACUGCACUCUAGACCGGGUGACAGAGCAAGACUCUGUUUCAAAAAAAAAAAGAAAAAAAAAUCAAUUAUGUUACUAAUGAUUUUAGGAAAAGAAAUUUUAUCUCUGUUUUGGGGCCAGAGGUAGGGAAAGGGAAAGGGUUAAAAUUAAGUAUUUACUGGCCAGACGAGGUAGCUCACAUCUGUAAUCCCAGCAGUUUGGGAGGCUGAGGUGGGCAGAUCACAAGGUCAGGAGUUCGAGACCAGCCUGGCCAAUAUGGUGAAACCCCCGUCUCUACUAAAAAUACAAAAAUUAGCCAGGCAUGGUGUCACAUGCCUGUAGUCCUAGCUACUCGGGAGGCUGAGGCAGGAGAAUCACUUGAACCCGGGAGGCGGAGGUUGCAGUGAGCCAAGAUCGUGCCACCGCACUCCAGCCUGGGCAACAGAGCGAGACUCCACCUCAAAAAAAUAAAAAUAAAAAAAAUAAGUAUUUACUAUCUGCCAGGGACUAUGUUGGAAAUUUUUCUUGCAUUACCUCAUUUUACAAGUCACAGUGGGGAAACUGAGGGUUGGAGUAGUUCAUUAACCUGCCCACAGUCACAUAGGGCAGGUUACCCAGGUCAGUCUUCAUUCCACUGCAGUCAGAAGUGAAUGAAGAUUAAGGAAGCAGAGACAAGGAGUAUGAACAAUUCUUUCUGGAAGAAUGAUGGGGAAAGAAGAGAAAGGAUUGAUAAAGUAUAGUGACAGAUAAUCUCUGCUUUUAUAAUAAAAAUAAAGCUCAGCUCCUCUGAGGUUGACACUGAAAAAGAGUAACUGCAGGGGCCAGAAGCAGAGAGACCAACAAACCCUGGCCCCUGCCCUGGAGAUUCAUCUUUCUCCCGAGACUCUCCCUCUGAUGAUUUUGGCUCCAUCGAAGCCUCCUUGGGUCAUUUCUUCCUUCAUAUCUGAGGUACAGGCAAUGGGAUGACAAAAGGCAUUUUUCAACAUCUCUCCACAACUAAGUCAAAGCUGAAAAGUUUAAAGGACUUUUCUGAACAUGAGGGCAAUGUUUCCCAACCUUUUGAGGUCAUAGAAACUGCUCUGGACACCAGUUUAAAUAUACAGAAUCUUGGGGGACAUGGAUUUUGAAGGUCUGCAGUGGGAGCCUGGGAAAAGGUAUUUUAAAGUAAUACCGGUUACCCUUAAAUUUCUGCAAGUUCUAGUAUCACUGUGCUGGCAAGUAACAAAGAGAAAUAAACACAGUAGCAUAAAGCCUGGCAUGUAGCCUGGCUCACAAAAAAAAAAGACCUGCUUAUAACCCCAUUCUGGAGUCCUCACCUGCCCCUGCAGGUUUGAUGCUAUCUUGACACAUGCUGGCUAUUUUUAUCUCCUAGAAAACAAUCUAGGCCCCACAGAUGGAGGCCCUUUGCCAAAUUAUAAGGUGGUGGGGGAGGAAGGGAAGAGGCUUCUUCACUCAAUAAUUUUUCCUUUUCUUUUUCUUUUUCUUUUUUCCUUUUUUUUUUUUUUUAUGGAGUUUCACUGUUGUCGCCCAGGCUGGAGUGCAAUGGCCCAAUCUCAGCUCACUGCAACCUCCACCUCCCGGGUUCAAGCGAUUCUCCUGCCUCAGCCUCCCGAGUAGCCAGGAUUAUAGGCACCCACCACCACACCCUAAUUUUUUGUAUUUUUAGUAGAGAUGGGGUUUCACCAUGUUGACCAGGCUGGUCUUGAACUCCUGACCUCAAGUGAUUCACUCGCCUUGGCUUCCCAAAGCAUUGGGAUUAUAGGCAUGGGCCACCGUGCCUGGCCACUCAAUAUUUUUCAAAGACCAGGUUGUUAGUCUUUUUAUUUUUUGAGACAGUGUCUUGCUCAGUUGCCCAGGCUGGAGUGCAGUGGUGCAGUCAUAGCUCACUGCAGCUUCUAACUCCUGGGCUCAAGUGAUCCACCUUCCUCAGCCUCCUGAGUAGCUGGGACUACAGGUGCAUGUCACCAGGACCAGCUAAUUUUUUUUUAACUUUUUUUUUUUUUUUUUUGUAGAGACAAGGUCUCACUAGGUGGUCCAGGCUGGUCUCAAACUUCUGGCCUCAAGCAAUCCUCCCACCUUGGCCUCCCAAAGUGCUGGGAUUAUAGGCAUGAGCCACUGUGCCCAGCAGUUGUUAGUUCUUUACCAGCACAUGAUGUAAGUCUUCCCGACACAGACAAGGUCUAGCUUGGCCCGCCAGACUGCUUCUGCCUUGUUGUCCCUCCAGCAGUGAGUGGCAGAAUGAUGGCAGCCAGCUUUCUCCCACAGGCUGCUCAGUCUGACUACGCAUUAGUAUUAGGGAAGGUGACCAUACAUGUUCAGGUUUGCCUGGGAAGAGUCCUGACCACACCUUUGAGCCCAGACUCUCCUCCACUUAGUCUUUCAUUUUCAUUUAUUAAUUCCCAGUUUGGAUGAUAAAUUACAUAGUCACCCCGUCUGUGAACAAAAGAGCUAGAACAAAAAUACAACUCCACAAAAGCAAGAAGUGGACUGCCAACAACUUAAUAACUUCCAUGGAUCAAGGAAAUCAUGCUGUGACACCACACACAUCAUUUCAACUCAUCCUCACAGCAACCCCACAAGGGAAUUUUGGAGACAUGAAUUUUGCAGAUAAGGAAAGUAACAGGGUGAAGUGAGUUGGCCAGGGUCAUCCAACUAUGAGGAACAGAGGUAGGGUCAAAGAUCCAUCUGCAUGAGCCCAGCUCCUGCUCUAGAUGGGCCUACCUGCCUCCUCAGGGCAUGUGGUCACCUCACCCACCAAUUACUGACUGCGUUAAGAAAUAGAAUUUUACCAAGAAAGUUGCUUGAUUUCAACAUGAAAGAAAUACUCUCAAUAUUCAUAUUUUUCAUCUUAAAUUUGAAAGUAGAAAUCUGCUUUCUGCAGCUGUCUAAUUCAGCUCUUGUUUCUGUAACCUAGUUUGAAAGAAGCAACUAAAGAAAGAAACUUUGAAAGAAGCUUCCAAAAGAAGCAACCAAGUCUACAAAGGCACAGUUUGACUCAAAUGGAUCCAACUGAUUAGCAAAUGGAAAAUAACAUGGAGGAAUAUAUUUUGCAUGACAAGCAUAGCAGCUCCAAGUCAUCCCUAAUGAAGCCAAAAAUUUAAGUGCAACCCAGAGAAUGGAUGGUUCAGAAUCUUUUUUUUUUUUGAGAUGGAGUCUCGCUCUGUCACCUAGGCUGGAGUGCGGUGGCAUGAUCUCGGCUCACUGCAAGCUCCGCCUCCUGGGUUCACGCCAUUCUCCUGCCUCAGCCUUCCGGGUAGCUGGGACUACAGGUGCCUGCCACCACGCCCGGCUAAUUUUUUGUAUUUUUAGUAGAGACGGGGUUUCACCGUGUUAGCUAGGAUGGUCUCAAUCUCCUGACCUCGUGAUCUGCCCGCCUCAGCCUCCCAAAGUGCUGGAAUUACAGGCGUGAGCCACCGCGCCCGGCCCAGAAUCUUUUUUAAAUUUUUUAUUAUUAUUAUUUUUUCUGAGAUGGAGUCCGGCUCUGUGGCCAGGCUGGAGUGCAGUGGCACAAUCUCAGCUCACUGCAACCUCUGACUCCCAGGUACAAGUGAUUCUCCUGCCUCAGCCUCCUGAGUAGCUGGGAUAACAGGCACGUGCCACCACGCCCAGCUAAUUUUUGUAUUUUUAGUAGAGACGGGGUUUCACCAUGUUGGCCAGGAUGGUCUCGAUCUGCCUACCUUGGCCUCCCAAUGUACUGGGAUUACAGGCGUGAGCCACCGUACCCGGCCCAGAAUCUUUGCCUUUUGUUUGCAUAGUUUAAUCUUCUAAACCAGUUGCUUUCCCAGAAAAGGUGACUUAAAGUCAUAGCCUUUGUGUUCAUCACCAUACUCUCCAUAGUUUUACAAAUUAUUCAGUUUAUUUUUAAAAGGGGUAAUUUUUAAAAUUUUUAUUUUUAAUUCCGAAGCAUUCCUUUUAAUACAUUCUCUUGAGGGAAAAAAAAAAUCACACAUAGUGAUUGUGUGUGGUAGUGAUUAUGUGUGGCCUAAGUGGCAAUUGAUCAAUACCCCAAUCUCAAGCCUGUACAUUGUUACUGGUUGACUGGUUGGUUGCCUGGUGGGCUUUUUGUCCUUCCAGAUGUUUUUCUACCUUCUGCCUUUUCCAAUAAAGCUUCCAUUAUAGGCGUAUUUUCCUUCUUCCCUGCAUACCCCACAGAAGGAAAGCUGCUAAAAUCUCAGAGCCGGAAAGUUCCAAGGGGGCUGCAGCAGCCCCUCUCUCCUAGUUUUUGUUCACCCUUACUAAGAGCAAGGCAGCUCAAGUCAGAUUGCUGCAUGUGCAUUUUGACUCCAUCAUUGAGCAAGUUCAUUUAUUCACUAUUCAUUCAGCAACAUUUGAGCACUUCUCUCUUCCUCCAUGGCCACCAUUCUAGCCCAUGCCACCAUGAUUUAUUGUUUCUGUCUUUGAUGCUGAGCCUGUCUCCCUACAGCCACAUGGUCCUUCUACACAAUCAUAUCACUGCUCUGCUUACAUCCCUUCCCCAGCUUCCCACCCACUUAGUCCAAGUCCAAGUCCCUUGGUUGGGAGCCAACAGAUUCCUACAGGUCUGCCAUCUCCCCAACCCAUGGCCAAGCCAUCUCUGACUUCUGCCUGUGCGCUCUACUCUAGCCACAUCGGCCUCCUUGCUAUUCCUCAAACAUGCCAAACUCGCCUCUUCCUUAGCAACUUGGCAUUUUUUUUUCCCUCUGCCUAGAAUGUUCUUCCUCCAAAGUCUACCUGGCUCACUCCUUCCUCUCCUUCAGUUGUUCUGCUCAGAUGUCACCUUCACGGGAAAGUCUUCCUGGCCAUCCUAUUACAAAUGGUGGCCUCUCACUGCCUCACAGCACUCCCUGGUCUCCUUUCCUGCUUCAUUUUUCUCCAUGCCACUUAUCGCCACCUGACAUACUUUGUAUUUCUUUGAUUACUGUCUCCUCCCACUAGAAUGUGAGCUCUGUACAGAAGCAAUAUGCUAGCAGCUAUAAGAGUGUCUGGCACAUGGCAGGCCCUCAGUAAAUAUUAGUUGAAUGAAUGAAUGAAGAGUUUGCAUGCAGCAAUGGGGAGCCAGAUCAGGUACGGCCUUGUAAGUCCUGGAAAAGACUUUGGGUUUUAUUUUAAAUAUGAAGAGAAGCCAUUGGAGAGCACAUCAUCUGAUAUACAGUUUAGAAAGAUCACUCUGGGCUAGGAGUGGUGGCUCAUGCCUGUAAUUUCAACGCUAUGGGAGACUGAGGCAGGAGGAUCACUAUAGGCCAGUAGUUCAAGGCCAGCCUAGCAGCCAUGCACGGUGGCUCACACCUGUAAUCCCAGCACUUUGGGAGGCCAAGGUGGGCAGAUCACCUGAGGUCAGAAGUUCGAGACCAGCCUGGGCAACAUGGUGAAACCCCAACUCUACUAAAAAUACAAAAAUUAGCCAGGCAUAGUGGUGGGCGCUGGUAGUCCCAGCUACUCAGGAGGCUGAAGCAGGAAAAUCACUUGAACCCGGGAGGCAGAGGUUGCAGUGAGCCAAGAUCACACCACUGCACUCCAGCCUGGGCAAAAGAGCAAGACUCCAUCUCAGAAAACAAAACAAAACAAAACAAAAAACCAGCCUAGGAAACAUAGCGGGACUGCAUCUCUACAAAAAAUUAAAAAUUAGCCAGGUGUGGUGGUAUGCACCUGUAGCCUAAGCUGCUUGAAAGGCUAAAGUGAGAGGACCACUUGAGCCCAGGAGAUUGAAGCUGCAAUGAGCUAUGACCACACCACUGCACUGCAGCCUGGGCAAUAGACUUAGACCCUGUCUCAAAAAACAAACAAACAACAACAACUAAAAAAACCCACCCUGCCCAUUGUGUGGAAGGAAGAUGGUACUAAGGGUAAGAGUGGCCCCGGGGGACAGUUUGGAGGCUAAUGCGACAUCUAAGCAAGAAAGAUAAUGAGGACUUGAGCUAGGGUAGGAAAAAAGGUCAUAUUUUAAAAAUAUAUUUUGGAGUUAUAGCUGACAGAACUUGUUAAUAAAUUGGAGGAGGGGCCAAAGAGGAAAAGAGAAAUGGAGGAUAACUUCCAGGCUUGGGGCCUCAAUACUGAAUCUCCCUGAGCCUGUUUACUGUUCUGUAAAAUGAGGGUAACUGGGCCCCCCCACCAUGGGAUCUCUGUGAGGAAGGAGGUAGAGGAUAUAGACUGCCCAUACUGACAGGCACAUGGUAAACCCUCAGUGCACAGUAGCUCUUAUCAUUGCCCCAGUGAUGACUGUAUUUCCCCUGCUUCAUCCAUAAAUAGGAUUACAGAAAUAACCACCCCAUAGAGACUGGGGAAAAAAACUUCUUGUAGAGUGUACCCUCCCCUCCUAAGGGAUAGACUUGUACUUUAACAGAAUACUUAACAGUAGUGUUGAAACAUGUUAUUUGCACACAGAUAAAUAAAAGGAUUCCUCAUAUUUCAAAAGAAGUGUAACACUGUUUUAAGUAGUGUUUGUCCAUUCAAUACUUAAUAGCAGGAGUAACUAAAAGCUGAAAUUACAAACCCCUGCUGAUUAAAAAUAAAUCAAAACAUAAGAUAUAAAGCACAUGUGAAAUAAUAAUGAUUUUUUUUUUUUUUUUUGAGACGGAGUCUCGCUCUUGUCACCAGGCAGGAGUGCAGUAGCACGAUCUUGGCUCACUGCAACCUCCACCUCCCAGGUUCAAGCGAUUCUCCUGACUCAGCCUCCCGAGUAGCUGGGACUACAGGCACCGUGGCACCAUGCCCAACUAAUUUUUGUAUUUUUAGUGGAGACAGGGUUUCACCAUGUUGGACAGGAUGGUCUCGAUUUCUUGACCUCAUGAUCCACCCACCUCAGCCUCCCAAAGUGCCAGGAUUACAGGCAUGAGCCCCCGCGCCUGGCCAUAAUAACGAUUUUUUUUUUUUAGAUGGAGUUUCGCACUUGUUGCCCAGGCUGGAGUGCAAUGGCAUAAUCUCAGCUCACCACAACCUCUGCAUCCUGGGUUCAAGUGAUUCUCCUGCCUCAGCCUCCUGAGUAACUGGGAUUACAGGCAUGCACCACCAUUCCUGGCUUUUUUUUUUUUUUUUUUUUUUUUUUUUUUUUGUAUUUUUAGUAGAGACAGGGUUUCUCCAUGUUGGUCAGGGUGGUCUUGAACUCCUGACCUUAGGUGAUCCGCCCACCUUGGCCUCCCAAAGUGCUGGGAUUGCAGGGGUAAGCCACCGCGCCCCGCCGCAACAAUGACUUUUUUAAAAAACAGGCAUUUACUGCAUUUUCGUACACUAGAAGCUAAAAUACCAUGCUGUCCAGUUCAAAACAGGACACCUGGCAACCCUGUUCCUAACAGCUUUCUGCAAAGCCAACACCCAGUGCUUUCUGGCUGCAUUGGCCUGUCCUCAUUUCCCCCUGGAAAACUUGUUUUAAACAGUACAGAUAACAUUCUGCCUCUAUUACAAUUAGCAGCUUCUCUCACCAGGUUAUCUAGUGUGGCAAGUGCUAGUGCGGAGUCACUUAGUAUCUUCUUUCAAAACCUCCCAGUGGCUGCCUUCAGGUAGCAUGUGAAAAGCUGCUCAUGGGGAAUUCAGCAGCUGCUUCAGGCCCUCCAGGGCAUUUCUUGCUGGCAUCUUCUGCCUCACCAGAUCGCCCUGAUUAUUAGUGAUCUGGGCCCCCUACCUAAUGGAAAACCAGCCACUCUUCUUCCCAGCCCCAAUGGAUAUUGAUGAGGGGUCCUUAAAUCUGGGAUCCUUUCCCCUCCUUGCCCAAUAAUUGAACUCCUAAAAUCCUUUUACUACCUGGGAAUCUGCAAAGACAACCUUGAAUUUGAACUGGAGCUAGAAGGACUUCCUCCGAACGAAUUUGCCCAUAGAUGACUCUCUGGUACAUGGUCUCUGUUGUUCAACUUUCUCUAUUCUGAAGUCUAGAAGACACCCUUGCUUCUGAAAGUGGGGCCUAAGAACCUGCAGCCUCACCAGGGAGCUUGGUAGAAAUCCAGAAUCUGAGGCAGGAUUCUAGACUUAUUGGAUCAGAUUCUGCAUUUCAACAAGAUUCCCCAGUGACCCCCAGGCAUCUUCAAAUUUGAGAGGCCAGGAAAGUGCUCAGGCCCUGCCCUUCCCUUCCCGUUGGCUGGGGAGAAUUCCUGUAAUUUGCCCUGUUUACGGGUCCUUAAUCUCCAACUUCACUGUCCUCGCUUUCCAAAGAAUCCUGAGUGGCUUCCUUCCAACACCUUAUCUGUCUUCCCCCACGCCCCUGAAGCCAGGGCCUCUUUUCUUCAAGGCCACCCCCCAACUCAUCUCAGGCUGAGGCUCCUCUCUUGAGGCCAUAUCCCAUGGUAGCAUUUCUUUGAGGGCUGCUUUUCUGCCGUUUUUCUCCCCAGGUAGGGCCUCUAAAACCGAUGGAAGUGAAGUGCUACACCUCAGAGCUGCUUUAGCCCUUAGAGCUGGCCAGGGUCUGAGUGGGCCUCUCACAGGGCCACAGGACUGCCCUUUCCCCCAGCAUGCCUAGAAGCUGAGACCACUCACACCACAUGAACAUGCUAUCCUUGUUCCUCUUUCCUGCCAGCCUCAACACAACCAGAAUACAGCCCAAUAAUGGCUGCCUACAAAUGGGAGGCACCCAGGGAAGGGAGGGGGUGCUGAUUAAGAACCAGCCUGGAGGAGGAUCAUGGUUUCUCUGAAACAAGAAGGAGGUGAGGGUUGAUGCGGAAGGUAUAUUAGAAAUGCUUCAAGCACUUGAUGCUUUGAGGGUUUGGGGAUUUGAGUUUGGGUUUGUUUUUUAAGCUUAACAAUGUGAAAAAGAUGUCAAAUAACUUUUCUGAACUGUGGCAAUCAGAGCCUUGUCCAGAAUCAUAACUUAAUGGCUUUUUGGCUCUCAAUUUGAUGGUCAGUUUGGCUAACCAACACUUUUUAAUUCUGUGUUAUUUAUUACUCAGUUGAUCCCCCCCAUAAUAUGUUAAAAGCCUACUUCCAACCUGUUAAAAUGUACCCUUGGAGUGCUGUCCAGAUUCACCAUUAAAAUAGUGUCUUUCCAGUCUUAUGUAUUUUAUUCAGCAGUUACUACAGUACUUUUUUUUUUUUUUUUGACAGGAUCUCAUUCUGUUGCCCAGGCUGGAGUCCAGUGGUGUGAUCACAGCUCACUGAAGCUUUGACCUCCUAGGCUCAAGCUAUCUUCCUGCCUCAGGCUCCUGAGUAGCUGGGACUAUAGGCACAUGCCACUAUACCUGGCUAAUUUUUAAUUUUUUGUAGAAACUGGGUCUCGCUAUGUUGCCCAGGCUGGUCUCGAACUCCUGGGUUCAAGCAUUCCUGACACUUUGGCCUCCCAAAGUGCUGGGAUUACAGGCAUGAGAUGCCAUGCCUGGCCAUAUUUUUAUUUUUAAAUCUUUCUAUUUAAAUAAGGAGAGGGAGAGAGAGAGAAAGCUCUAGGUGCAUUUUUUCCAAAUGGACACCUUGCCAUGUUUUCAACACACAUCUAAAGCCUGAAUUGAGAGUAUAAUUUUUCUGUAGAUACAUCACCUUGAGGAAUUUUAUAAACUUCAGUUUCCUCAUCUGAGAAAUGAGGUAGUUGGAUUAGAUGAACUGGCUCAUCAAGUGAGUAUAAGGAGCCUUCCAAAUUUAAGAAUUAUUAACAUUUCCCGGAAGACUAACCAGGCAAUUUUUCUUCUUUAGGUUUGACUUUCUGAGAUGUCAUGGCUUAGUAUUCUUUAAGCAAAUUCUGGAAUGUUCUUGUCCCUUUGGAAUAAUUGUAAUGUGGAUUUGUUCUGUGCAACUGAUGAUAUUCUAAUGUGUUUGGGCAGGUUUAAGUCUAAAUUUCCAAAGUCUCACACCUGUGGUUUUACCAAAAAGGUACUGCUCAAGGAAACCAGUGAUGGGCAAAGGAUGCAUGGUAUAGCUAUGAUGCAAGAGCGCCCUCUGCAGGCCAUGCGAAGAUGAGUCUCUUUCUUAAAGGGUAGCUUUUCCGCUCUUUGUGUAGAGUACAACCCUUCCCUUCCUCCUGUAGCAUUCUCAUCAAGAAACAUUUGUUUAGUGCUUACCCUGAGCUAGGCACAGUGUGCUUAGGGCUGGGAACACAAAAAUAAAAGCAUCCUAGGCUUAAAGGAUCUCACGGUCUAAUGGGGUACAUCCCAAUCAGAUCAUUAUAAUGCAACCUGAGAGGUGUGUCACUGGAGCUGUGCCUCAUGUCCCCAUUAGUUUGCAAUCACAAGUUGCACACAAGAGCCGAAAUCAAACUGUACAGUACAAUGCUUUUUUGUUAGGAGAGAAGGACUGGUGACUCACCCUAGCAUUUUCUCUUUGCACAGAAACAGAUGCCCUGCCCAGAAGCAACACGGCUAAUGGGUGCCACCGUGGAGACCCAGGCAACCUGAGAGUAGUCCUGACAGCCAGACCUCCAGGGUGGAAAUGGGAAGGUCUACAGAGAAAGUGGGAGACAUGAAACUAAACAGGAAUGAUACAUUGACAAUAAAGAACAUGAAGAGAUGGUUCCUGGACACUACAAGAAACCUGUGGUCCCAGCUACUCGAAGACUGAAGUGAGAGGAUCACUUGAGCCCAGAAGGUCGAUGCUACAGUGAGCCAUGAUCAUGCCACUAUACUCCAGCCUAGGUGACAGAGCGAGACUCCAUCUCAGAAAAAAAAAAAAAAAAAAAAGGAAAGGAAAGAAGGAAGGAAGGGAAGGAAAGGAAGGGAAGGAAGGGAAGGAGGGAAGGAGAGAGGGAAGGAGGGAGGGAAGGAGGGAGGGACUGGAAGAGGAGAAGGAGGAGAAGGAGAGGGAGAAGGAGAGGAAAGAAGAAAGAAGAAGAAAGAGGAAGGAAGGAGGAGGAGGGAAGAGGAGGAGAAGGAAGAAGGAGAAGAAAUGAGACAAAGGAGAAGAAAGGAGAAGAAAAAGGAAGAAGAGGAAGAGGAAGAAGAGGAAGCAGAAGCAGCAGCAGCAGCAAGAAGCAGCAGCACCAGCAGAAGCAGAUGCAGAAGCAACAGCAGCAGAAGCAGCAGCUGAAGAAGCAGCAGCAAGAAAGGAGGAGGAGGAGGAAGGGGAGGAGGGGGAGGGGAAUGGGGAGGAGGAGGAGGAGAAGGCAGCGGCGGCAGCAAGAGGGGACUGGUCCCAGCAGGGUAGGAAUCUUUAGAUGGUUAUUAAGAAAUGGAAUGAAUAAAAUGGAAAUUGAUGCGGUUGGCUGCACAUGGUGGCUCACACCUGUAAUCCCAGCAAUUUGGGAGGCUGAGGUAGGAGGAUCGUUUGAGCCUAGGAGUUCAAGACUAGCCUGGCCAACAUAUUGAGACCCCCAUCUGUAAAAAAUAACAACAAUAAAAAGGAAAUUGAUGGAGUUAAAACAAAGGUCUUAACGUAACACUACCCUGAAGGUUGGGUGAACCAAAGGGAGCCCCUUUUGGUCCUCCAACAUUAAAGGGCCCCAAACCAGUUUGCUGUAUUUCUCCCAGUUUGGAGAAAUUUAAAAAGCUAAAAGGCAGCAGUUACAAUGAAAAAUCUGAUCUGAAUUUGCCUGGGGCAAUAGUCGAGCAGACUAACCAAGAUAAAGAUUAACAAGAGGGCCAGGGUCCUUUGGGUCACCCCUUGGCUGGGUACCCAAAGACUUUUACACAAGAGAGGGUAAAUGGUCUAGGGGUGGAGAAGAAAAGUUCCUGAAACUAAAACAGAAAAAUGUAGGGGUCGAUAGGACUAUGAAAGUUGGUAUAUUUGAACACUUCAUGUGAAGUAGUUGCAUUUUUUAUCUGAUUUUAUCAUGGGAAUGAACAUUGUAUCUGUGUGGGGGACUGUUUUCCCUACCUGGUACUGUAAAAGAGAAGGCAUGUAAAUCGUCCCUUCAAGCAAUAUUAUUUGGACAUGCUAAGCUGGAACCAGGGAGACUGCCCAGGCCCACACAGUGCAGAGUAGAAGCUACGGUGCUGGUAGGGACAAAUUCUCCACUUGAUAACCCUCUAUGGAGCAUUUCCUGGAGCUUAUGGCAAAAGCCUGUGGGCACCUCCCAGCAACAACCACUGGGACUUUGGACUAGAGAAUUUCCACUUGAAGGGCAUUUACUGACUCGCAAUGAAACAUUUACUGAAGCCACCCCACUGAUACCUGAAAUAGGCAUGCUGUCUCAGAUGAUGUCAGAGGAACAUUCUAAUGGGGAUGGCAGUGCCCAGAAGAGUUCCAUGACACAAUGGAAAUGGUUUAUAGAGGAUCAUGCUACUCAAGGCAUGCAGAGAAUUUCUUUUCCCCUAGGACUGACUCUGGAACUGUGUGAGAAACUGCUGGAUUCUACAGUGCCAAAUAAACAACUUUCAACUGACCAAACAAGAGCUUCUUGGUUUAUGGAUGGCAAUUCCAAGGCACAAAAUGCUAGGAAGAACUGUUCUGUUUCUCAGUAAGAGAGACAGAAACUGGCUAUGGGAAAGAUUUCCUGGUGGGAAGGCCCUGAACAUAGCUGGCAAGUGAGACUGAUGCUGGCAGCCCUGGGGGACUACAAAUGGAAUAGGAAUUCUUGAUAGGAAUAGACACUGACUCUAGUGCAGGCUUUGCUUAUCCAAUGGAAGAUGAAAGUGUUCAGAGUGCCAUAAAAAAAAAAUUAAAAAAAAUAAACAACAGAAGAUAUUUCAAGGAUUUGGAUGGCUGACCAUCAUUUCUUCUUCAGACAAAGGAACACACUGUACAGCCCAUAAUGCCCAACAAUGGGCAGAGAGAUAUCCUCCUUAGAGUAAUAGUUUGAUAGAUAAGUAGAAUGGGCAAUUAAAAUAUUGGUUGUCUAAAACCAGGGAAGAUAAAAGCAUGAAAGCCUGGCUUAUACUCAACGUGGUUGAAACUAGAGUGCUCCUGUUAGAUUUUUUCUCUGUUUUUCUGGUUGAUCUGGGAAAAGGGAGUGGGGAGAAUGCUGAGAUGACUACGCAGGUCUCACCAAGAAAGGAGUACACUGGUAAAAUGACAAUACAUUUUUCUUUCUUCUCAAAAUCACCUCAAAAAAUUUUUUCUCGGCCGGGCACAGUGGCUCAGCCUGUAAUCCCCGCACUUCAGGAAGCCGAGGCAGGCAGAUCAUGAGGUCAGGAGAUCGAGACCAUCCCAGCUAACCUGGUGAAACCCCGUCUCUACUAAAAAUACAAAAAAUUAGCCGGGCGUGGUAGCGGGCGCCUGUAGUCCCAGCCACUCGGGAGGCUGAGGCAGGAGAAUGGCGUGAACCGAGGAGGCAGAGCUUGCAGUGAGCCGAGAUGAUGCCACUGCACUCCAGCCUGGGCGACAGAGUGAGACACUGUCUCAAAAAGAAAAAAAAAAAUUUUUUUUUCUCUCCCCUACCUGAUGCGGUGGUCCCAAGACCACAGCUGCAACUACAAGUGCUAGAACAGCAAGGGUGAGUUCUAGGCAAAAAAGCCUAUGUUUUUAAAGCUAUGUCAAAAUUUCUAAGGGCAGAUGGGGGUGGAUUGUGCCUUCACCCCAUCUAGCAAAAUUGGGGCUAAGAGUGAAUGCAGCUAUAUUGCCUGGUGUUGAAAAGAGCUCACUAGUUCUGUACCUGUGUAACCUUACCCUAUGUGAAUGGGAGUGAGAUACUUGCUAGACCUGUAUUGAGGAGGAGAUACUUGCUAGACUUGUAUUGCUACCUGCAAUCUAGACCAGCAUAGUGGUGAUUCUAAUGUCCCUUCCAAAGGUGAAAAGGUUUGGGUAUUAAUGGACAGAAGGAAAAAUAAUAGCUGAGAGUAAAUAAAUAAAUAAAGCUGGGCACAUUGGCUCAUGCCUCUAAUCCCGAAACCUUGGGACAUCAAGGCAGGAGGACUGCUUGAGCCCAGGAGUUUAAGACCAGCCUGGGCAACACUGGGAGACCUUAUCUCUACAGGAAAAAAAAACAAAAACAAAAAGUAGCCAGGCAUGGUAGUGCAUACCUGUGGUCCCAGCUACUCAGGAGGCUGAGGUGGGAGGAUCACUUGAGCCUGGGAGGUUGAAGCUGCAGUAAGCAGAGAUCAUGCCACUGCACUCCAGCCUAUGUGACAGAGCCAGAACCUCUCUCAAAUAAAUAAAUGAGUUAUUAAUUGAGGAAAAUUCAAUAUCACAUUAACAAGUCAAAAGAGUCUCAGGGCAAGAGAUGACAUUUUCUCGUAGCUCAAUUAUUCCAGAUGCCUGAAAAGGUGAAGCUGUGUAUUUACCGAGGCCACUUCUGCUUUUGGAACCUGACAAGAUUGAGAGGAAACCUGUAAACCCGAGUGGCCUCAUCCUGGGAAUCAUUCGAACAGUAUAAUGGGCUGGAUUGAUUAUUAAUGAUUGUGUAUGUAUGUAUACAUAAUCAUUAAUAAAACAUAUAUUUUAUGUAAAGGAUCCAUGGUUGAAAACCAGAGGAUGGCGUGUGGUGUUACGCUAUAUAUUGGUUUUUGUCCACAGUUCCUGGCUCCAACUCCCAUAGUGCUUGUUACAGUUUUUUGUUAGAAUAUUGGGUGGGUUAGGGCUGGGCACGGUGGAUCACACCUGUAAUCCCAGCACUUUGGGAGGCCGAGGCAGGUGGAUCACUUGAGGUCAAGAGUUCGAGACCAGCCUGGCCAACAUGGAUAAACCCCAUCUGUACUAAAAAUACAAAGUUAGCUGGGCAUGGUGGCACGCACUUAUAAUCCCAGUUACUUGGGAGGCUGAGGCAGGAGAAUUGCUUGAACCCUGGGGGUGGAGGUUGCAGUGAGCCAAGAUUGUGCCACUGCACUCCAGCUUGGGCAACAGAGUGGGACUCCAUCUCAAAAUAUAUAUAUAUAUAUAUAUAUUUAUAUAUGUGUGUGUGUGUGUGUGUGUAUAUAUAUACACACACACACACACAUAUAUGGUGGGUUAAGACUCAGGGGCAGGCCUCUGACCUCCCACCCUCCUUCCACUCUAAUGUUCCCCAACCUGUCUGAUUAUAGAUCUUAAGACCUUCUCAUGAGAGAGUACCACCCUAUACCCUGGGGGAAGGAAUGCUGAUGUCAUGAAGCUUCCAUUACAACCCAAGAGGACAAGGUUCAGUGAGUUUCUGGAUAGCUGGAGGUUUCUGGAGGGUGGUGCAUCCAGGGAGGUGCAUCCAUAGAAGCUCCGCACCCCUUCCC
rnacentral:lncRNA from 1 species